ensembl:snRNA LOC120095798 U2 spliceosomal RNA
AUCACUUCUCGGCCUUUUGGCUAAGAUCAAGUGUAGGUUAGGGAAGUUUUCUUCUAUGAUUUUGUUGAAGAUAUUUACUGGUCCUUUGAGCUGGGAGUCUUCACUCUCUUCUAUACCUAUUAUCCUUA